rnacentral:rRNA from 1 species
UAAGAGGUCCCGCCUGCCCUGUGACUGUAAGUUUAACGGCCGCGGUAUUUUGACCGUGCAAAGGUAGCGCAAUCACUUGUCUUUUAAAUGGAGACCUGUAUGAAUGGCAUAACGAGGGCUUAGCUGUCUCCUUUUUCAAGUCAAUGAAAUUGAUCUCCCCGUGCAGAAGCGGGGAUACUUACAUAAGACGAGAAGACCCUAUGAAGCUUUAGACACCAAAGCAGCUCAAGUUAAACACCCCCUCAUAAGGGACUAAACCAUGUGAAUCCUGCCCUAAUGUCUUUGGUUGGGGCGACCGCGGGGGAUAAAAAGCCCCCAUGUGGAAUGAGAUUAAUUCUCUUAAAACUAAGAGCUACCGCUCUAAGAAACAGAACUUCUGACCUAAAGAUCCGGCAAUGCCGAUCAGCGGACCGAGUUACUCUAGGGAUAACAGCGCAAUCCUCUUUUAGAGCCCAUAUCGACAAGGGGGUUUACGACCUCGAUGUUGGAUCAGGACAUCCUAAUGGUGCAGCCGCUAUUAAGGGUUCGUUUGUUCAACG